UAAAGUGUACACUCAGUGAAUGCUGGCC
rnacentral:piRNA from 1 species